rnacentral:rRNA from 1 species
UCGCAUCGAUGAAGACCGCAGCAAAGCGCGAUAGAUAAUGUGAAUUGCAGACGUGAAUCAUUGAGUUGUUGAACGCACAUUGCACUCUUUCGGGAGUAUGUUUGUGUGAGCGUUGAAUCUCU